GCCGGGCGCGGUGGUUCACGCCUGUAAUCCCAGCACUUUGGGAGGCUGAGGUGGGUGCAUCACUUGAGGUCAGGAGUUUGGGACCAGCCUGGCCAAUAUGGUGAAACCCCACCUCUA
rnacentral:SRP_RNA from 1 species